AAUGCAAUUUUAUUCAUAUGAUUUUUUUAGGUUAUUUUGUCACCAAAAGUUUUCAAACAUGUUGGGUUUCCCAAAUUUUAUGGGAAUUUUUCAUCAAAAAGCUCAAAAUUUAUGGAAAAAAAAAUAACUAACAAAACUGGAACAACACAUUCAAAACAAAAAAGAUAAGAUAAACAGGGGCAAUAUUGGAUUUCACGACCCACUUCCGAUCAACUCCAAAAACUUCCGACAACCUGCUAUAGCUCCAGUCUUCGACGAUGUCGUUGACCCAGUAGCCAACGAUGCCCCCGACCAGUCACCGAUGCAGAGGCACCUCCCUGCAUCAUUCUCUUCGAAGAUAUGAACGCCAAUGGAGGAUUCACAGAGGCACCGCUGUGGACUAGCGGAAACGCCAACGGAUGCAAAGGUGGAGAUCUACUAGAUCCCAACAAUAUACGAGUUAUCUCUGAGCCUAAUUGAGUUGGGCCUCACGACAUAUCGGUUAUCGAAUUUGGACCCUCGAAUCGCAAACCUCUCCUACCUCACAAAGCUCUCUGUGGGCCAAAACCAAAUCAAAGAUGUCGCUGUCGAGCAUAGAAGUGGAGCUGACACUGGAGAUCAUUUUGUGCGCAGUCAUGGUUUUGAGUAUGCUGGUGUGGAUCUUUUCAUAAAAUUCCAUUCAAAGUUGAUAAAGGUAAGAAUCGAAUGCAUAUAUAAGUGUAUAUAUAUCGGUAAUUAUGAAUUUUGUUUUUGAGGGAAGAGAACUGUUGUUAAUAAGUGGUGAAAGAGUUGAGAACCACAGACGGGGGGCUUUCCCUUGACAAGCUGCUAGGAUUGAUCUAGACAAUCUUGAACCUUUAGCAAGGCAACCAACAAGGAAAUUGUUUGUUCUCUUCACAAAAACAAAAUUACAGCAGUUUAGUGAAAAUAGAGCUUUCUCUUUGAACUGUCAAGAAACUAUCAACAUCUCUGAUAGCGAUGAGCAUGACAGAAUAUGUCAAUCUAUCACUGUGGUCAUUGAUGAUAUAGUGCAGGUCAGCCAUAUUUAAGCAUAUAGUAUGACAAAACAAAAUUCUUUAUUUGUUUUUAGUGAUGCUAAUCAUGUUGAAUGAAUAUAUUUCAGUGGCUUAGUUGGACUGGGGAAGAUACUCCUAUUAGAACUCUGGUUUGAAUAUAUGUAUAUAUGGCUGAGUUUAGUUUCUUUCUUUUUCCAACUUGUAGCUGCUUAAUAUGGAUAUUCUUUUUCAUUCAGGUUCUUUGGUUAACACUUGAGUAGAAUUUAGAUGAUAUGCUACUUAGGUGAAAAAAAAAAUGAAAAUAGAGGAACAGGAAUAGGACGAGAAAAUAAAUAAGAAUAGAAUAAAAUAAAAAUUAAUAUGAAUAAAUAAAAUUAAAUACAAUCAAAUAAAGAAAUGAAAUAAACUUUCAAUUCCAUUCUAUUAUCCCAAACAAAACAUCACCUUAGUCUAUUAUAAUUAGUUGUCUGCCUCUACUGUCCAAUAUACUUUAAAAUAGCUUUAUACGCUCAGACUCUAUACUCUACUGUUUUUAUUCACCUAACUUCCUGCUUAUCUCGCACAGUCAACAUUUAAAAGGUCUGUGUUGCUGCCUAUGUUGGAUAGAACUUAGGGAUUAUAAUUUUGGAACAACAUUCCUACAUGCCCUUUUUGGUCAUGAAUUCCCUGUUUGUUGCUAAACAAAUUUUUUGCUUGUAAAUUCUCAAGUUCAACAUAUUUUAGGGUCUCCCUUUAAAUUUUUAAUCAUUUUUUUUGCUUUUAAAUUUCUUGAUAUGCUGUGGAUUUUUUGAUAUAAUUAUUUUUAUAUUUAUUGGGUGGUCGGUUGAUGAAGAGAAAAUUCUUCCUUUGGGAAAAGAUAUCACUGCCGUUGGAGUAUUCAAUUUCUAAGAUGGUACUCCAGAAAUCAAGUAACGUUCACUAAUUUUCUUAUUUUCUUCAUUUAUGAUAAAAUAUCUUCCGAUGCUUCAUUCUUCACUUCUAACUCUUGAACUUGUGAUGUUUGGGCAUUAAUUAAAUUGAUGGUUUUUGGUUGUUUUAUACUGUGUAGCCCUGAACAAGAUUUCGAUUCCUGCCAGAUUGGAACUGCCAAUAAUGUUAUCUUUUGUCUUUUGCCUUGCAUAUAUCAUGAAAAUUGUGGGGUUAUAUGUUAUUAUUAUGAAUUUUGGCUUUGAAAAAUUUAAGAUGAGCCAGGUCACUCAAAUACACUUUCUUAAUCUGUUUUUUUUUACUCUUUAUUGUGUUUUAGCUUUUAAGGGGUUGUUUGGUAUGUAGGAAACUAGAUACCAGAAUGUAAAUCUGAACACUUUCUCGUAUUUAGUAUUGAGUUUGAAUUUUUUUAACCUGAGAAACUGUAAUCCAGUGAUUUUAAUUUUUUUGAUUCUGGGUUCAAGUGAAACCCACGUGACAGCCUGAGAUGUUGUUUUUAGAUACCCGGGAAUAUUAAAUAUUUCAAAAUUAUUAUUAUUUUAAAAAAAAAAAAUCUUAAACCAAUAGUUAUUCUUCACUUCUAACUCUUGAACUUGUGAUGUUUGGGCAUUAAUUAAACUGAUGGUUUUUGGUUGUUUUAUACUGUGUAGCCCUGAACAAGAUUUCGAUUCCUGCCAGAUUGGAACUGCCAAUAAUGUUAUCUUUUGUCUUUUGCCUUGUAUAUAUCAUGAAAAUUGUGGGGUUAUAUGUUAUUAUUAUGAAUUUUGGCUUUGAAAAAUUUAAGAUGAGCCAGGUCACUCAAAUACACUUUCUUAAUCUGUUUUUGUUUACUUUACUCUUUAUUGUGUUUUAGCUUCUAAGGGGUUGUUUGGUAUGUAGGAAACUAGAUACCAGAAUGUAAAUCUGAACAUUUUCUCGUAUUUAGUACUGAGUUUGAAUUUUUCUAACCUGGGAAACUGUAAUCCAAGGAUUUUAAUUUUUUUGAUUCUGGAUUCAAAUGAAACCCACAUGACAGCCUGAGAUGUUGUUUUUAGA